UCUCUUGCUUGAGAAAGAAAACUCUCCAACCAUGGCAAACCAGGCAUUUUCCCCAGAGGCUGCUUUCCCUCAUGGGAGGCGGAGGGAGAAAUGGGACCCCAGGCUUCUUUCAAGGGCAAGGUGAAUAUGGGGAAA